GGGCUUGAACUGCAAGAUCAUGACCUGAGCCGAAGUCAGACACUCAACCGACUGAGCCACCCACGUGCCCCUGUUUUGCCCUUUCUAAAGGCUACCAACCAUCUUUUUGAGCCUUGAUGUCUGGUCUUCCACAGAAUACAAGUCUCAGUGGCCUCGGCCAGGAGCUGCUCACCCCAGACAAUCAGGAGGAUAAUGUGUGGCGAGGCUUUGGACCACCGACAAGGCAGUGGCUCUUUCCUGACAUGGUCAGAGCACGUUAGCAAUUGAUGCCGGUGUGAAGAGUUCAGUUUUCACGGCUAACCAAUGUGAAAAUCAGGCGAUUUUAAAUAGGUUGGGAAGGUUACUCAGUAACCGUUUCGAGCCUGGCCAACAAAACGUGUCCAAGGAUUGUCCGUGACGCUGAGCUCCGCCUUGAAUUAUUUCUGUGUGUUCCCACCUCUUUGAGACACUACUCAAGAUUCGGAUCUUAAAUUAUGUUGGUUCAGAUCCUCUAAGAAGCAGACACCGAUAUGGUAUUACACAUGCCUGAAAGAGAUUUAUUGGGGGAAAUUCCUGUGAAGGAAAAAAAAAGCAGGAAGCCAGAGUCUUCGGUCAGAGAUACAGGUCUGAUAGUUUUGAAAUGAGGUAGGAGGAAA